CGGACGGGUGAGUAAUGUCUGGGAAACUGCCUGAUGGAGGGGGAUAACUACUGGAAACGGUAGCUAAUACCGCAUAACGUCGCAAGACCAAAGAGGGGGACCUUCGGGCCUCUUGCCAUCGGAUGUGCCCAGAUGGGAUUAGCUAGUAGGUGGGGUAACGGCUCACCUAGGCGACGAUCCCUAGCUGGUCUGAGAGGAUGGCCAGCCACGCUGGAACUGAGACACGGUCCAG
rnacentral:rRNA from 1 species